CAUGUUGGGGGGUGGAAGAUUUUUCUGAGUCCAAUGAACCAACUAGAGACUCACCAACAAUGAGUCUCUAGGACGUUCCUGAAAAAAGUUGAUUUUUUCCCAUAGGAAUGCAUGGGAAAAAAUUUUUGAAAAUUUUUCAUCCUAGGGUUAGGGUUGCAGCUAGGGUUAGGGUUAGGGUUGGAGCUAGGGUUAGGGUUAAGGUUGGAGCUAGGGUUAGGGUUGCAGCUAGGGUUAGGGUUAGGGUUAGGGUUGGAGGUAGGGUUAGGGUUAGGGUUGCAGCUUCGAUUAGGGUUGGAGCCGGGGUUAGGGUUCUAGCUAGGGUUAGGGUUGGAGCUAGAGUUAUGGUUUGUGUUAGGGCUAGUGUUAGGUUUGGGGUUAGUGUUGGGGUUAGAGUUAGGGUGGGGUUAGGGGUAGGGCUAGUGUUAGGGUUAGGGUUUUGGCUAGGGUUUGGGUUGAUGUUAGUGUUAGGAGAUUUAGAAGUACUUUAAGUUUUUUUAAUGUUCCAUGCAUAGAGCUGACAGCCUGUUUUUGGCUUGCGCAUGUGAUGACGUUUCCAGCUUUGAUAGCUAAUUAGAGGUGAAGUAGGCAGGACUUUCCCGUACCAUCCCACAAAAAAAUAUAAUGCUUUUAGGAGUUGGAGGAAAUCCUGAGAGCAAUUCAGCUUUGAAUUUGUUCAAUGAUGGAAGGCGGAGCCAAGUUGUCCAUAGUAUAUACAGUCCAUGGUUUGCACUUAGAUAUCACUUCACCGAUAUGCAUUGAUACAACUACGUGGAGAUAGGUCUGGGUGUGCUGGUUGACAGCAAGGUGGAAGAAAACCUUCUAUAUUCACGUUUUGUAGUAGAAGAUCAGCCACAGAUAAAUAGCUUUACUUUGCCUACAGGGGGAUCCAAAAUCAGCACAAACACAAAGUUCAUUAAAGUAGCUUUAACAAAAAAAUGAAUGUCAUCACUGACAUCUGUUUAAAUGCAAUUGUAAAAAUAAUGAAAUGGUUAAGGUGAUUUUUUCUUAUUUAUGCACGUGUACCCACAUUGCUGUUUAUCCUCCCCCUGCUAUGAUACAUGUUCUGUGCAGCUCAAAGCGUGAUUAGAAAGUUACGCCACAUUUAGCACAAUCAAAACACACGCGCAGUCUUGCAUACACACACACACGCACACACACAAACUGACGCAGGCCAGACAUGUAAUACUACACAACCUAAUCAGCGACAUGUUUAUUCUCGAUGACUUUUUUCUGAUUACAGAGGCAUUGGUUGUGACUGUCUGCUGCAUGCUAAAAUAAUCAGAGAUUUUGUGAGCUGUAUAUUUAAAGCAAGGAUGAGAUUCACAAGGAAUCAUGACAAGGUAAAGGAAGUUAAACCUUGAAAUUCACAGAGGCUGUAACAAUAUUUCAUUCAAGAGUGUUUAAGGAUCCCAGUAUCCCCUUUAAUGUAAAAAUUUUUAUAAUCAGCAAUAAAAUGUGUUGAUUUUGGAUCUAUAUAUUUUGGCUUAAAAUUAUAUUUUCUUUGUCUUUUUUGGACAUGUGCUGUUAUUCAAGGCCAACAUGCAGAUCAGCAACCACACAUGGUCCACAGAUUCACCCACUGGCCUAAUGAUGUGUUUGACUCUCCAGUGACACUGUUUUUGCUGCAGCUCAUUAGCCGAUUGAAUGCAGCAACACCACAAAUCAAUUGCAAAACAACAAAAAAAUGUAAGUGGGAAGUCACCACUUUAAAACAGUAGCAAAAAUAAAUAAAGAAGUUGUACAAGCUUUGCUGUUUUGGCCCCCCCAGGUUUCCACAUUGUUUUCACAUUAAUUCUCCCUGUUUUACCCUUUUUUCCCCAUAUUUUCUGUAAUAUUUUAUCAAGUUAAACAAGCAAAGUGUCGGCUACUCACACAACUGUCAUCUUUUAAUAAAAUGAAAUAAUUUGUUUGAGAUAUUUCUGGACUGAAUAAUGUAUUUUAAUCUCUGUGGAGUAUGUGUGCAUGUGUGUAAUUGCAGUAAUUGGUGUGGAUUUUCAUCUAAUCCCGCUGUAAUCACCUGUCUUCCCUGGCUACCAUCAGCCAUUUCUUAUGUCUAUUGCCAGAACAUCAUGGGAUUACACAGAUAUCUGGUAAUACAGAUAUCUGGUAAUACAGAGUAUUAGUGCAGACACUGAGUAAUAACUGUACAUGCACCAUGGUGGUAAAGGAUGACAAAAACACUUAAAGGAAUGAAAAAAAGAUGACGUGGAUAUUAUUACUGCAGUGCUGCACUGACCCUCUGUAUCAGAGCUGUGAGAUUUGUAUGCAGGUUUGACAUCAAAUGUAUUCAAAAAGUAGAGGAGCCCUCAAGUUUCUACAAACCAAACAAGCCAAAAACUUGAUUUUUCAAAUUUUGAAAUUCUGUGAAGGCAAAUCGUUAGGGAAAUAAACAGUUCAUGGCUUUACAGAGGGUUUAUGAAUUUUUCAGAAGUCCUGUCAAGUUGUUGUAAAGGAUAAGGGAUUUUAUUCCAGAUGGUAAGCAGAAGCAGACAUCCUUCUUUUUGAGUUGAAUCCAAUCAAAUAUCAGUUUUUUUAUUAGCAGUAAGAAUUAACAACAUCUAAUAAGAAGGAUUUUACCUUUUCUUGUUUUCCUGUUCACACAUACUGUACAUAUGUAGACAUGCGCUGCACACCCUUCAGUUUCCCUGCAAUGACAUUUUCUCCUCUUUCUCAUUUCUGCUCUGUGGCCUUGAGACACACAUUCAAACAAUGAAAACACACACUCCAUAGCUGCCCUAUAUUCUAUAUGUAAGUGGGGCACCUACAUGUAGCCAGCUGUAUUAAACCAACCCUGGUCUGUGUGCAUGUGUGUAUGUAUCCUCUGCACAAAUACAAUCCAGUGCAGCAGGCAAAGCUUUGGCGUUAGCUCCAAGGGCAUUAUGGGAAAAAGAGGUAAGGCGAGGGCAACAGCACAGUUAUUUUAGACCCAUUUGUAACACAACUGUUACAACAAUAGCAGCAGCUUCUGCAGACUCAGGGUUAAAGUUGCAACAGCAGUGGUAGAAGAAUAAAUGUAUUCUUUAUUUAAAAAGCAAAGUAAUGGUAGAAGACUGAUCCUAUCGUAAAUAUGGCAUUGACAGUUUUCCCAAUUAUUUGGGGGGCAAUAUUGAUUAGGAACUUUGAUCACUAGCUUUUACAUGUUAGUAAAGGUGGUGAGAAACCAGAAAUAUUUCAUUUGACUUUCUAACAAACAGCUCUGGCCUCCAAACUGAAAAGUUGUUUUGUUAUUGAUGGUGUUAUUGGUGUCAUCAAAAUAUAAAGAUGCUUUUUUUGCCAUGAUAUUCAUGUAUUUCAUCAUGAUUGUCAUGUUUAAAAAUUGCUUCCUUGUGUGAAAUCAAAAUAAAAACUAAAAUAAACAAAAAAAUCUUAAUCAAUAUAGAGUAGUUUAGUUUAAAAACAAAAAAAGACUAUUAAUUCCCCACAGUAUAGCUUCAUGACACUUAUCAAAAUAGUGUAAUCCAAGUGAAUUUAGAGGAACUAGAAUUCCUCUCACCCAAAUGUUCCAAAACAUUGUAAUUAACUUAAAUGAAUGAAAAUUUUUAAUCUAUUGUGAAUGAAAAAAAAAAUCUUGUUCAGAUAUUUGAGCUUAUUGUUUCCUAAUGCUUUUCUAAUUUUAGAAUUGAUCCAAAGUGAAUGAAGAAAAGCUGCAAAGUCAACAGGUCAAUCAUGAUCAUUCACGAUAAUGAUGGUGAUAAUAGGGGUAGGAUGACAAUAUUACUCAUCACAGUUGGAGGGAAGUAAAUCUAAAAUUAACAUCAGGAUUGUAGCUGUAAAAAAUAAUGUUGAGAUUGAUAUUAAUAGUUAAAGCAGCUGGAGUCUGGCAGGUCCACACCAGCAGGCCAUCUGUAGAGACAAUCUAGAGGAGCCUGCGAGACAAGGAAGCUGAACAACCCCCAGAGGAUCCAUGACAAGCAAAGUCAAUUAGACAUGAAGGUUUAUAUGUAGACAGAGAGAGGUGAGAGAGGGAAGUACAGGAGCUCGGAGUGCCAGUUUUCCCUGCAGAUUAAGCCUAAAGUAGUGUAACUUAGAACUGACCCAAGCCUGAGUUAGUCACAACCAUAGGCUUUAUUUAUUAAAAGAGGCAUUUUACGCCCACUAAUGAAGAGCUUAUAGGACUUAUGAACCGUAAGGAUGAGCAAAAAAGUGAAUAGAAGUGGAGACCAAGUUCAGGUAAGCUGCACAGUCAGGUGGGCUUAGCACUAAUUGAUUCAUUGGUAACACUUUACAAUAACCAUAAUUUAUAAAUGGUAAAUAGAUAGUUUAUCAACGUUUAAUCAUUUAAAAACAGCAUAUAGACCACCUAUACAUAGAAAAUAGAUAGUUUAUUAAUGUAAGUUAAUAGUUACUUUACCAUUAACAAGCUAUGAAAUUAUGAUUAAUAAUUUUCAUUUAUUAUUAAUGGGCUAUUUAUUAUAGUGUUUAUAUAGGGUUUAAAUAUUGGUUGUAAAACAUCUAGAUUAAAAUGUGUGUCAGUAGCACUUUGUAAAUGGUUAAUAUUUGGUUCUUAAACCAUCUAUAAACAUUACUUAGAUGGUUACUGUAAAGUUGCAACUGAUGUUUGUAUUACUUUGUAAAUGAUUAAUAAGUGGUUUAUAAACCACCUAUACACAUUACUUAGAUGGCUAUUUUAAAGUUAAAAUUAAAAAUGUAUUAAUGGUCUAUAUGCUAUUUAUAAAUGAUGAUUAAACUUUAGUAAACUAUCUGCUUAACGUUUAGAAAUGGUCUAUUUACCAUUCAUAAGAUAUGGUUAUUGUUAAGUGUUACCGAUUCAUUAUUUAGAAAGUUUGAACUUAGGACUCCAAUUCCCUGUUUUCCCCGUAACUUACAACAUAUUUGUAGGUACAGUAAGUUUAUAAAGGCCAGCAGCAUGUCUGUCCUUGUCAUCACCUUUUUGUGGCUGCUGCCUGAGUAUCUCCACAACUGAAGAUGACACCAAAUGACCACUGGAGGUUUAAAUCACAUUAAUGCACUUUAGGGAUUUUUGAGUUUACAUAGUACAAUAUGACAAGACCGUGGAUCCAACAGCUGUGCUUACAAGAUGCACUACAGUCUGCUCACACACACUCUCUCUCACACACACACACAGAUACACAGAAAGCAAUCUAUCCAUAACCACGUCCCAGCACUGGAGGCAGUUAUACAAACCAGCUACAUCCACACCUGCAUGCUUACGCACACAGACACACACACACGCAGAGAGAAUUGUUUUGACAGCGUGAAGAUCCUGUGGGAGCUAACCAUCAUGCACCGACCCAAAAAUAAACCUCACUGUAGGGUAGGAGACAAAGGGCAUGGACACACACACACACACACACACACACACACACACACACACACACACACACACACACACACACACACACACACACACACACACACUCAAUCUUGCCUACCUGACCAACAAGGGACUAUCAGCCCAGACUGACCAAGAGUGGACCCCAAUUUCUGGCCAUUUUAAUAAAACAAAAAUAGAAUGGAACAUUUUCUUUUUCAGGUCUUUUAACAUAAUAAUACUUGAAAUCUGACUUAUUUUGUCAUUAUUAUUAUUUUCUUUUAAUUGUCAAGAGGGGACCUGGAUCCUUGAGUGAGACGAACACACACACACACAAUUAGAUAGACUUAGAUUCUUGCAUGUUAUAAAGGACAUUGGGCACUCUGUACUGUCUCAGCUGUUUCCAAAAAACUUUUGAAUUUAAAAGAAAAGAAGUCAACUCCAUCUUUAGCUCAAAGGCCAAACCGAGAGCAAAAACAGCAGCAUCUCAUUUAUUUAUUCUCUAUAGUCAUUAAAAAUGGAAAUAACCUCCAGUUCUAGUAAGUGAAGCCAGUGCAUUGAAGUUCAUUUCUUCUUUCUAACAGCCAGCAGGGGGCGGCUCCACUGAUUGGAUAAAGAAGUUUUAAUAGAGUUGAAAUUGGGUUACGCUGGUCAGGGUUAAUUUGACCCAGCAGUGGUCUCAGUGGUCAGCGGUGACUCAACAAAAGCCUUGUGCACUUUAUGUGGUUGGGUGUCUUCAAAAGACUGCAGAGGUGAGCAUGACCCAGUGGUGCAUUUAUUUUGUCACAGAGGCCUGUUUUUAUAAUUAUUAUUAUCAAAUCUCUGAUUCAUGGCCCUUAAGGUGGAUUUCAGGGACUGCCAGCAAACAACUGCUUGUGUCCACAUCCAGCAUAAUGGAAAGACAACAUAGUAGAUAUAGGGUCUUUUUUUACACAUUUUUAAUGAUUUGUUUUGGGGGUUAUUUUGAUUUUAUUUCGAAAAGGGCAAGAUGGUGAACAGAAGGAACUACAGAGACUGAAAGUAUAGGAGCAUAACUACCUUGGGUGCACAUGUAGACCGCUAGGUCAGAGGUGGUUUUUCACAAGUUGAAUGUAAGUCAUUUGUUUCUUAUGCCUAUAUUUUUCAUCCCUUCUAACAUCUGGUGGAAAAUUCAUAUUAUCAAGCUGCACAAAACUCCACUUUGUUCUCUUGAUAGCUGCUAAAUGUUCUUCUCUGCUAUAAAAGAUAAUAACAUGAGAGCAGCAAAUUUGAGUUCAUGACACAAUUUCACUAUUUCAAAUUGUUUUGUUAUUUAAAUGAACAUAUUUACAUUAUAGUUGCUUAAAUCACUACUGUAUCUUUAACUGCUGUUGAGUGAAUCUCAGGGGGAUGCAGCUGGUCUUUAAAUCCCAAAACUUCUUGUCAAUUACGGGCAGUCAAGGCUUUGUAGGUCAGUAGACAUCGUGCUUGGUGCAACUGUGGUACUAAUGAGGCUCAAGUCAAAACUUAAUGUAACAAUUAAUCGCUGAUCAUUGAGCUUAACUAGGAUUUAGCAUAUAGCUGAGAGCAGAGUAAAUAGCCACAGGGAUGAUGUACAUUCAUGCUGCAGCCACUCUAUUAUUUUGUUUAUUUGAGGAGGAUUAAAGGAUAAAAACCAGCAUAAGUGCACACUGCACUAUAAAAAGACAUGUGCAGGGGGAUGGAGGUGUGUGAGACUCUCACAAGCUGUCACACACUUGUACAUGCACUUGAAUGUAAACGCACAUAGACACACACACACACACACACACAAAUAAAUGCAGAUUCACGUAAAGGGCAUCCUACUCACACGGCCUUGUGAGGUUGCCUCCGUGAUCUUUUAAUUUGCAUGGAUCAACACUAAUCCUCCAAUCCUGCUCGUCUCUUUUCCACUCUGGUGACCCUGGUGGAAAAUAUCACAGUGGGUCAGGAAAUGAGGAGUAUUGCUUGUUUGGACUGGAGUCACGUGAGGCUUUCAUUUGUUAUUUUUCGCUCAGUCCUCAUUCUCUGUUUGUACAUUCCUUCAGCAGUUGUUUAUUGAAUCAUAUAUUCAGUAUGUUGUAUACAUUUCUGUAUGAGUGAAGUCAAACUCAUCAUUAAAGUAUGAAAAGUAUGAUGUUGACUCCAUUAUAAAUAUUUAAACCCAAAACUGAGGGGUUAAAGCUGAACCAUCC